rnacentral:rRNA from 1 species
GCUCAGCUUCCUUCCUGCGUCACUCCAUCCUCAAACGAAGACGCCCGGUACUGGAAUUUUCGCCAGUUGUCCAUCGCCUAUGCUUUUCGCCUCGGCUUAGGUCCCGACUUACCCCGGGACGACGAGCGUUGCCCGGGAUUCCUUAGGCUUUCGGUGGACAGGAUUCUCACCUGUCGUUUCGCUACUCAUACCGGCAUUCUCACUUCUUAUCCGUCCAGCAGUCCUUCCGGUCUACCUUCGUCCAGAUAAGAACGCUCCCCUACCCAGUGUACACAAAAGUGUACCCUGCCGCGGCUUCGGUUCUGUGCUUUAGCCCCGGAUAUUUUCGGCGCAGGGCCUCUCGACCAGUGAGCUAUUACGCACUCUUUUAAUGGUGGCUGCUUCUGAGCCAACAUCCUGGUUGUUUUCGAAGUCCUACAUCCUUCUCCACUUAGCACAGCAUUUGGGACCUUAGCCGGCGGUCUGGGCUGUUUCCCUCUUGAAUACGGGUCUUAUCACUCGCAUUCUGACUCCCAGGCUGCCCAUAUGAGCCAUUCGUAGUUUGACUGGGGUCGGUAGGCUUUACGCCCCCUUGCCCGAUCAGUGCUCUACCGUCUCUAUGGUGAUUCGCCUGAGGCUAGCCCUAAAGCUAUUUCGGGGAGAACCAGCUAUCUCCACGUUCGAUUGGCAUUUCACCCCUAUACACAUCUCAUCCCAACGUUUUUCAACACGCACGGGUUCGGUCCUCCACUCAUUUUUACCUGAGCUUCAACCUGGACAUGUAUAGAUCACUGUGGUUUCGGGUCUAAUCCAUGCUACUAACUGCCCUCUUAAGACUCGCUUUCGCUUCGGCUCCGCGUCUCCCGCUUAACCUCGCAGCAUAAAUUAACUCGCCGGUUCAUUCUUCAAUAGGCACGCCGUCGCACAUAGAUCGUGCUCCGACUGUUUGUAGACAUACGGUUUCAGGUUCUAUUGCACUCCCCUCCCGGGGUUCUUUUCACCUUUCCCUCACGGUACUCUUCGCUAUCGGUCGUUUCGAUGUAUUUAGCCUUGGAUGGUGGUCCACCCUGCUUCCCACUGGGUUCCUCGUGCCCUGUGGUACUCUGGAUCCCUGCCCGCUUUUCACUCUUUCGUGUACGAGGGUCUCACUCUCUUUGCCGCACCUUCCCAGAUGCUUCCACUAAAGUGUCCAGUUUGUUGCAGGUCCGCAACCCCAAACAACCGAAGUCAUUUGGUUUGGGCUCUUCCCGUUUCGCUCGCCGCUACUCAGGGAAUCUCUUUGAUUUCUUUUCCUCCGACUACUUAGAUGUUUCAGUUCAUCGGGUGUUUUCUCUCUACCUCGAAGGUAGAGUGACAAGACGUUACUCUUGCCGGGUUGCCCCAUUCGGAAAUCCAUGAGUCAAGGCUUACUUGCAGCUCGUCAUGGCUUAUCGCAGCUUAUCGCGUCCUUCUUCGUUUCGAAACGCCUAGGCAUCCGCCGUAUGCCCUU